CCCGUUAUGUCUAGGGCUACACACGUGCUACAAUGGGUGGUACAAAGAGCAGCUAACUCGCGAGAGUAUGCAAAUCUCAAAAAGCCAUCCUCAGUUCGGAUUGGAGUCUGCAACUCGACUCCAUGAAGUUGGAAUCGCUAGUAAUCGCGGAUCAGCAUGCCGCGGUGAAUACGUUCCCGGGCCUU
rnacentral:rRNA from 1 species